GUAUGUAUAGAGAGGAAAAUGCGCUCGUAUACGCGCGCAUCAUCGUGUUCGCACGUAACACAUUUCCGGUCUCGUAUCGACACGACACGAUAAAGAAUAUUUACGAAUCCGUGACUUUCGUGACGCGUAGUCGCAGUGGCACCGAUUUGUCAUUCAACGACUUUCCAUUGUCGUUGAAGGUGGAGGAAAUGGUACUCGGCCGAAGCGAAGACCGAACCAUCGAGGUUAGCAAAACGUUUGAAGGAACGUAGUCAACAGUUGACUCACGAGCGACGCGUUAUGUUAAGCGGACCAUAAUUAGAUGGACAUGACGUUGUAACCUCGUGCCGAAACUUUCCAGCCCGAGAACCCAUUUCGAGGCGAGGUGUUGAUAUUCGUUCUUGCAAAUGAUUUCCGUAUAUAAAGUAAUUCACCGCGUACAGUUGUACACAGUUGAGUAUAUGAUUUCAAACGUAAAUCAAAAUUCCGCGCAAGUGAUACAGUUGGAAUCGAACGAUCUAGCAUAAAAGUAAGCCAACUCACGGUCGACAUCAUUCUUCUAGCGAGAAAAAUGCUCGACUAUGGCCACGUAACCCACGACGUACCGGUGGCUACCACCGCGUAACAGAAAUACUUGCCACGUAACAACGUCCUCUGGGAACAAAUUUGCCGAUCCCCGCGAUAAACGAUUUCGAAGCUUCGAGUCCAUGAGGCAUCGAAACAAGCAAUUUUCCGAACGACGCAAUCGAACCGAACGGUUCGCAAACGAACCGAGCAGCCCUGCUCCAAAGGUGCUCCCGCACAAAGAUUUCGAAUACGAGGUGCAUCUACAUAACCGGAAUGCUGAUUUGAGUGAUCAUCCGGCGCACAAUAGGAGGCCAGUUAAAUGCUCGCGUGAGGGGUUAAUGACUUUGAAAAUUACUCGUAUCCGAAGGCCCAACGAAGAGACCGGAUGUCCGAUUCGAGCAUCCCUCCCUCUCGUCGAUACAAAUCGUUACGAAAUCUUCUUGGUCUGCAAGCGUGGCGCGGGCAACUCGAUCCCCGCAAAUCGAUCGAUGCGAUCUAUUUUCAAGUGUCGAGGACGCUGCUCCAAGACACCCCGACAACUUAACCUGUUUAUCGCGACGCAAUCAUGAAAAUCACCAACGAUGGCUUUUCGUCAGAGAUCCUUCUGCUUCCGCUUCUCCUUCGCGCGAACACUAGCGUCUUUCCCCUGAAUUGGAAACGAAUUAAUACUCCCCGAUGUAUGAAGUACUACAGUAGGAAGAAAAUCGAUCGGACCCCGAAGACCACCGAGGAUCUACCAUCCCGCCAUAUGGCAAGUUGCCAUAAUGCAAAAGUAGGGAUUCAUACCUAACACCCGAAGGAGGUAUACAUAUAAUUCGCGACGCGCGUCAAGGAAUCCUUAUCUUCCAUCGACGCGAAAUAUUUCCUCACGAUCGGUUAACGUUUAUAGAGCGGUCAAAUGUACAUUUCUUUAGCGACGUUAAAUCCUCGGUAGAACGCGACUUACAAUUAGAAGCGUCCAAUGAUUACGGAACUCUUUCAGACUUCCGCUACCGUGAUAAUCCGUGAUAAGUCGUGGCAAAAAAAAGUAAAGCGAAACUGGAAAAACAGCAUCGUUGCAUUCGCGAUAAGGUUAUCGCGGCAAGGUAUCCGUUACGCGGUCUACAAGCGGUGGGCUGAUUUUUACAAAUCGGCUCGCGUUACAUAAACGCGGCAACCUGCUAUGCCAUACUUGCCAUUAGUCGAAAGAAGCUAGACUUCGCGCCUAUUGUCUUCGUUCGAGAUCCCGAUCAUUUUACCGACAGAGUCGUUUUACAUAGUCCGCCCAAAGGCGGAUUCACACCGUCUGCUGAAACAUUUUUCCAAGUCACGACUUUGUACAGUUACAUAAGUCGCAUCUUUGCGAUUAUAACGCACGCUCGAUAAACGAACGGUUCCGAUCGAGUCUUGACGAUUUCAAACAAAUCGUUCACAUCUUUGAGUAAAGAAAACGACAAGGAGACAUGUGCGUAAAAACGAACCUUAAUUAACAGUGCGUAUGAAAGUCGUCGCGAAACCUAUCGAAGAAUAGGUAGAAAGAAAUAGAAAGAAGAGAAUAGAAAUUGUUACCACCUUAACAAGUAUAGUAGGUAUAGGUAUAGGUAUAGGUAAGAAUAGAAAUUGUUACCACCUUAACAAAAUCAUCCUCCGUGAGCACGCUACAGGUAGACCACGCAAUAACCAAUGAGGAUCGUAACAGUGGCGGAACGCGACUAGAAAAGCCCCGGAAGCUUUAUUACUUCCGUUUCGGGAUCAUGCCUAAGUUUCUCGCGAUCGUUAUCGCAUUCCGGGAUGCUAGACUCGUGACUGUUGCUUCCAGUGUGCUCGCGACAACGUUAUAUUUUUAGACCGCAAUCGAUUACGUUCAACCGAGAUAAUGGUGGCGAUCGAGUGUAACGACGAAGAGAGCCAAUUGCCGCGUACCCGGCUUUUUUCCCUAUUUACUAUCCGAAAUACGCGACGGCAAAAAGCUGCCUCGAAUAUGCGACACGACGUUUGCCAAAUGGGCGAGUCACCUCUUUUUAUUUCGGUUACGCAACGUUUUUCCAAACGUUUACGUUCGCCGAAAUUUUCACGCUUUUCUCUCGAAGCCUGCGACACGGCCUCUCGCUUUCUGCAUGUACUAUAUUCUGCGUAAUCUAACUUGACGCUUAGGUCUAAUAUUUGCGAGACGCGAAACUGGGGCACUUGAUUCAUAGGCAUAACGUAUCGCAGUGGUUAAUAAAAUUGUUUACGUAUAACAGAUCCAGGUUCCAAAGCGUAAACAGUGUUAGCGUUCCUACAGAGACAACGCGUUGCUUUCCUUUUCCGAUAAUCGGUAGUUUGGAUAAUCGACGUGUUACUGUAUUGUAUCGAUACAAGCACGAUGCAACGAACAUCGUUCGCGAUAUCAUUUGUGCCAAUUUCAGCGUCUAUAUUAAUAAUAACGCAUGGGUAAAAUUAACGAAUCAUCGUACAGCCUACGGCUUUCGUGUUCGAGUACCCAGAAAUUGAUGUCAAUUUUUUCUUGAUAUCGAGGAGAGAGAGAGAGAGAGAGAGAGAGAGAGAGAGAGAGAGAGAGAGAGAGAGAGAGA